CCCGGAGCGCAGUGGCAGUUCGCGCUGCGCUCUGGGGGUUUCAGGCAGCUAUCCGCAAGCCUUCGGAACGCAGCGCUGCACUCUGAAGGCUUGCAGAUAGCCGCCUGAAGCCUGAAGCCCCCGGAGCACAGCGCAAACUGCUGCUGCGCUCCGGG